rnacentral:miRNA from 2 species
CGAUCUUGUAGCAAGAACUGAG